ACUAAUCAAUUUUUGACUUUUGAAUUUGUCUAUCCUCUUUUAAUUAGUCAAAGAAUUCUAUAAUUGUGAUAAAGGGGUUCUAUUGAAAUAUCAUGGAAGAAGUGAUUCAGUUUUUUUAAACACAUCACAAGGACAAGUACAAAGUAUAUAAUCUUUUCUCUGAGAGGCUGUAUGAUGCUUCAUUGUUUGAAGGAAAGGUGGCUAGUUUCUCAUUUGAUGACCAUAAUUGCCCCUCCCCCAAAUUCGAUUGAUCAUAUCCUUUUGUUAAAGUGCUUACUCGUGGCUGAAGGAGGAUAUUGAGAAUGUUGUGGUUGUGGACCGUAAAUCUGGGAUGGUAAGGACAGGGUUGAUGAUCUCAAGCCUUCUAUACUUGAAGUUCUUGCCCACUAGUGAAGAGAAUGGACUACUACAAGUAGAAAAGACGUGUGGAUAGGAAGGAGCUUGUUUUGCCAAAUCAAAUUAGAUACGUCAAGUACUUUGAAGCACCUUAACAUACAUCAAUGGUGAAGAUCAGCCUGGGCGCAUGCAUUCUUUUGGCAAGAUGGCAUGUGAUAGUGGGAACCAUGGUAUUCUAUUUUUUAUAAGUUUUUUUUUUAAUUUUUUAUUGUAAUGCCUAUUUAUAUUCGUA